rnacentral:rRNA from 1 species
AGAUUGAACGCUGGCGGCAUGCCUUACACAUGCAAGUCGAACGGUAACAGGUUAAGCUGACGAGUGGCGAACGGGUGAGUAAUAUAUCGGAACGUGCCCAGUAGUGGGGGAUAGCCCGGCGAAAGCCGGAUUAAUACCGCAUACGACCUACGGGUGAAAGGGGGGGAUCGCAAGACCUCUCGCUAUUGGAGCGGCCGAUAUCAGAUUAGGUAGUUGGUGGGGUAAAGGCCUACCAAGCCGACGAUCUGUAGCUGGUCUGAGAGGACGACCAGCCACACUGGGACUGAGACACGGCCCAGACUCCUACGGGAGGCAGCAGUGGGGAAUUUUGGACAAUGGGCGCAAGCCUGAUCCAGCCAUGCCGCGUGCGGGAAGAAGGCCUUCGGGUUGUAAACCGCUUUUGUCAGGGAAGAAUCUUUUGAGUUAAUACCUCGGAAGGAUGACGGUACCUGAAGAAUAAGCACCGGCUAACUACGUGCCAGCAGCCGCGGU